GCUUACGGCCAUACCAGCCUGGGUACGCCCGAUCUCGUCUGAUCUCGGAAGCUAAGCAGGGUCGGGCCUGGUUAGUACUUGGAUGGGAGACCGCCUGGGAAUACCAGGUGCUGUAAGAA
rnacentral:rRNA from 1 species